UUCCACUAGUUUUCUUAUCCAUUGGUUUAUUUUUUUUCUCUUCACUCUUUUCUUUCAAAAAUCAACAUUUUCCUAAUGUACCCUUAAUGUACCAAAGAUCACGGAUCUAACUUUCCUAACUUAUUGAAAUCAACCGAUCUCUCUCAUUAACAAAUAAUAGAUUUUCAGGAAACAAAUACCGGAUUUUAAGGAAAUUAACAAGUAAACCAUGACAAUAAAAUUUUAUUGUGAAAGUGUAUCUCUACUCCUAAAGAGGAGUCGGUACUUCGUUCCUUAGUACUCCAACAUCUAUCCCCGCACAUCCCCACCGAUCGAUCCAAGGAUCUUCUGGUCGCUCCUCUCUUUUGACAAGUUCUGAUUCAAUCAAUCGAGCCAUAGCGAGAUUCGGUAAUUGGACUGGAGGGAAGGAGGAGCAGAGGAUGGAGCGUCGCAUCUGCAGCUGCCCGCCGUCGAGUCGAGGGUCGACCGCCGCCAUCUCCACCUGCCCAUCAUCGACCAUCUCCUCGCCGGCUGCACCUGCACGCCGUCCCCCCUGCACCCUGUUUGAUCUUCUCUGUUUGAGAUCCUAUCUCUGACCGAGUUAUUCAGUGCCAAAAUUUUCAACAACUAGUACUGAAUUAUUAGCAGUUAGUACUGAUCUAUUGAGUGUUGAAUAAACCUUUCUUAAGCUUAUUUAUUGUCGAUUCCAUCCUCUUUUGAAACAAAGAUUCUGACUGUUCAAAAUUUAUCUCAUAUAUAUUGUAUUCUUGGUCCUUUUUUAUAAAAUAUUAAAAUUUGGUCUGUUUGUACAGGACGCCGAAUACAUCGGCGUAAUAAGAGCAGGAAACUCGUGAGAAUUGUCCUAGACGGGAAGAGAGAGGGAGGAGGAUACGUCCAUGCACGCGGGUGCUACUGGUUAAUCUCUGCUAAUACUCCAGUGGACUGUCUGCUGAUGCUAGACUGCGCCUGGGAUCUAUUCUCCUGUAUCUAAACUCUUCCAUUCUUACCUGAAGAGAAAACUAAGAUGUGCAACUGCAUGUUGUUUAUGUUAUGUCCAAACUGUUUUUAGUUAGCUUCUAAGAAUAUGGUAUAAUACAUUGGAAAAUAUUA